UUUUAGAGCUGCACCCAUGGCAUACGGAGGUUCCCAGGCUAGGAGUCCAAUCGGAGCUACAGCUGCCGGCCUACAGCACAGCCACAGCAAAGCCAGAUCCCAGCCGCAUCUGCGACCUACACCACAGCUCACGGCAACGCUGGAUCCUUAACCCACUGAGCGAGGGCAGGGAUCGAACCCUCGUCCUCAUGGAUGCUAGUCAGAUUCGCUUCUGCUGAGCCACAACGGGAACUCCGGAAACCACAGUCUUAUAAUAAGCUAAGAACACGCCUUACUCUACUAAGCUCCACCAAAGGCACGGCCACCUGCCAAACAGCGCCCCGCUCUGUUUGGGGCUUUUGGUUGCAGAGUGUGGUGCAGAGGAUGCCUCUGUCUCCAAAAGAACCAUGUUUCCACCUCCUAAGCCCCAAGACCAGCCAGACGGCUGUGAGGGUCCGGACACAGACGCAGCAUUGAGGGUCGCCCUUUUGGUUCAUUGCGGACCCAGGACGGGGCUCCCCGUGGCACAGUCCUGCGACCUUCUGCGGCGAAGUGUGUCUGCACCAUGAGCCUUUCUGCACCGGGCCCUCUGUCGUGCCCCAUCUCUGGAUCUCACUAUGCCCUGCAAGGGAACGGGACGGACCCAGGGGAUAUCAAACUCUGCUGCAAAGAAGCACAGCCCUGUUCUGUGCAGUCCCUUGGGGGUCCCCGAGGCAGCGGGGGGGCGGGGGAGGCAAGCACUGAAUUUCCCACCCCCAUUUCAGGCACAGAUGCUCCAAUCUGAUCUGGAGGAAAUACUGGACUUUGCAUUAAGAUUUCAGAGAGGAUUUUUUUAAAAUUCCUGUUAUAAGAAUAUAAAGCCAAAAAAAAAAAAGCGUGAAAACCGCUAUAUUAGAAGAUCUCUGGGUCAUGAAAACGACAACAUCCUAGAUCAGUCAGUCCAAGAAACCCAGAACCACAGCCGAAGUACAGGUGGCAACUGAGAGGCAGGGUUUUGGGUUUUUUUUCUUUUUUGGCUGCAAGGAGUAUGGACAUCCUGGGCCAGGGAUCAGAUCCAAGCCACGGCUGCGACCUACGCCAGAGCUUGUGGCAAUGCCGGAUCCUUGACCCACUGUGCCAGGCCAGGGAUUGAACUUUCGGCCCAAUGCUCCCAAUACACUGCUGAUCCCGUUGCACCACAGUGGGAACUCCUGAGGCAGGUUUCAGUGAGGAGGGCCCAUUCGGACUCCCGGAACAGUGUCUUACUAGGGGCACACACGCACACGCACACACCACGCACACACACACACACACACACACACACACACACACACACCCCGCCGGGGAGAAAAAAACAACUUCAGGGCUGGACUCCAUCCUGAUACAGCCUACAGAGACUGGCUUUGAGCAGGUCUGCAGAGCAGAUGGCCUCGGCUCGGAACACAGCUUCCCCGCGCUCCGCAGACCACGCACAGGACAAACAAGCAGAAGAUUAAGGUUGUGAGCAAAAGCUCCCCAGAGGGUACCUCCGUGAGGACCCGCUAGCACCUAGAAGCUAUGGAGGAGGAAUGGAGGCAUGAAAGAAGCGGGUGAGAGGAGGGAGAGAGGAAGGAAAGGGAAAAGGAAGCGAGGGCAGGGGGAGGCGGAGAGGCCCAGGGCCGCCCGGACAAUAAACAGCACCAGGCGGUGGGUCAGAAGACCAAACCCCAAAGGUGCCCAAUUCAGGGAAAGCAGAUGCUACCAGAAACUUGGCCCUUAAGGGACCAAGUUGAGGACACUUCCAGGGAGCUGGGACACAAGGAAGAGGAAGGGAAGAUUUUGUUUUUCCCCCUUUGCAAAGUAUGAACACCUACAGGCAAUAGGAUUCCUCCGGCGGCCAAGAAAGGCGAAAACCUCCAUGCUGAUCGUCACUUCCUUGGAAAGUAUGAGCUCAGAGGCCAAGCCUCAGCGCAGAGCUGUGAUUUCUCGUGUGUCAAAAGGAAAGCAGCUAUGGCCAACGUCACAUCGUUAUAUCGCCAUCUUUCUUGGUCCAAGCGGAAGAAAUGGAUACAGUACCGUCCAUCCUCUGGUCUCGCCCCACAAUACCACGGGCCAGGAAAGGAAGCUGCUAUGGCUAAGCAUCUUGGGAAGACACACAUAAAAAAGCGGAGCAAGAGCAGAAAUGUUUUGUAAGGUUGAGAUGCUCUGGGUUUGUCUGGUCCCCAAACACGAUGCAUGCCCUCCCAAAUGGAGCAUGUCCAUCAAGGCGGGGGGAAAACUUUGCUGCUAAAUCAUAAAUGCACUGGAUUCACAGACCUAAUUCUGACCUCUGCUGAGAAGCUGGCACUACACGCAAAGGCCAUAUUCUCCUCAAAGCCAUUCUGACAAGAAGCCAAUAGUCCACUAUGCCUCCAGAGAUUAUUAAUAUUGUGGUUUGGUUAGGAAUCAAUAAAUGUACUUUUUAAUCAUCCUUGCAGCCAAAAGCUAUUGAAUAGUCUUCUGUAAAUACCUAAAAACUGGUGCAAUUUAUUUUACUGCUAUUCCAACUACAGCAUUUGUUUUGAACAUGUUGUGUUAUUUGUGGUUUUUAAUCAGAUAUGUUAACAGAUUUUUAAGUGAGAAACAGGUUUGCAAUUUGGAAAUGGACUGGGUAUUACUUUGCCUUUCACGAGAACUGAAAAAGCUGUUAUACUUGUGGAAUAAAAAACAGAAUUUGAGGAAGUAUAAAAUCUUCAGAAUAAAUAUAAAAUACUUUAGGAGUUCCUGUCGCGGCUCAGCAGAAACGAGUCUAACUAGCAUCCGUGAGGAUGCAGGUUCGAUCCCUGGCCUCACUCAGUGGGUUAAGGAUCCAGCGUUGCCCUGAGCUGUGGUGUAGGUCGCAGACAUGGCUUGGAUCCCACAUUGCUGUGGCUCUGGUGUAGGCCGGUGGCUACAGCUCCGAUUAGACCCCUAGCCUGGGAACCUCCAUAUGCCGUGGGUAUGGCCCUAAAAUUGAAAAAAUAAGGCAAAAAAAUAAAAUAAAAUCCUUUAGCAUGAGAAGUGCUGGCUGACACGGGACAGCCACAAGAGUGCCCAAUUCCUCUGAGUCUUGAUUCAGACUUUGACGUAUAGACAGGUGCUGCUGUGAACCCACAAUUUCGACAAUGAAAUUAAAAAAGAGAACUUCGAGUAAUUCUGAGGGACACCAUCCAACCGUAGGUCUUUGCCAGUCCCUUGGGACACACAAGGCACAUGCCCAUAUUCAUAUCAAGCAACGCCGUUUCUUUCUUGCGGCUUCCCGACGGUGGUAAGAGCAGCGCCCAGGCUCUUAGAGAACUUGGGUCAAUGUGGGGGGCGGCCCCGGAGGAAGACUUUCAUCUCUCCCCCCGUCUCCCCUUCUCUCUGCCUCUGAACUCGGCCCUCCUUCCAGGGCUCGCACCCGCACUGCCUCCUCUAGGAAGCUGGCGUCACGUUCCUCAAAUCUGCAUGGCACUGCCGACCCUGCCACGAUCCAGUAUCUUAGAGCUGCUCCAGCUCUUUCUGCGUGUGUACCUUCUCCUCCCCGCUGCUCUCGAACAUGGUAAUUAUCCUCACCCAACAGCUCGCUGAGGCCCCAACAUACACUAAUGCCGAGGUACCACUGGGAGAAAUAAACAUGUGCUUAGAGACAAAAGUUCUCACUUGAAAG
rnacentral:lncRNA from 1 species